UACGGAGGGUGCAAGCGUUAAUCGGAAUUACUGGGCGUAAAGCGUGCGCAGGCGGUUUGUUAAGUCUGCUGUGAAAUCCCCGAGCUCAACUUGGGAAUUGCAGUGGAUACUGGCAAGCUGGAGUACGGUAGAGGAAGGUGGAAUUCCCGGUGUAGCAGUGAAAUGCGCAGAUAUCAGGAGGAACACCGGUGGCGAAGGCGGAUCUCUGGGCCAUUACUGACGCUGAGGAGCGAAAGCGUGGGGAGCGAACAGG
rnacentral:rRNA from 1 species